AUACAGAGGGUGCGAGCGUUAAUCGGAAUUACUGGGCGUAAAGCGCGCGUAGGCGGUCUAUUAAGUCAGAUGUGAAAUCCCAGGGCUCAACCUUGGAACUGCAUCUGAUACUGGUAGACUAGAGUUAUGGAGAGGGAAGUAGAAUUUCAGGUGUAGCGGUGAAAUGCAUAGAGAUCUGAAGGAAUACCAGUGGCGAAGGCGACUUCCUGGCCAAAAACUGACGCUGAGGUGCGAAAGCGUGGGUAGCAAACAGGAUUAGAAACCCUAGUAGUCC
rnacentral:rRNA from 1 species